rnacentral:lncRNA from 1 species
AAAAACAGUGGGACUCUAACAAGGCAGACGGAGCUGGUGAUGCCCUGUGGAAGCAGCCAAACAUAGUGCUGAGGCUUYUGUGCGCAGGCACAGUGACAGAACCAGCAACAGACUAACACACAAAUCAGAAACAAUCUGGACACCARAGUUCCCUGCACUCCAUCCUGCUGCAAAUGCACCAACUAUAAGAAUACAACAUACGGCACUAAUAUGUCCUCCUGGUCUGACCUCAGGGUUGAUGCUGCYUGAGCAGGAGGCUGGACUACAGACCACCUGACCUGCAUCGUUCUAUGAUCCUGCAACUGUUUGAAAGCUUUUCCUAUGUUAUUAAGAGCUGUCCUUGCACUGUCGUCACUACAGGAACACAAAUGGCACAUUAAGCUGCAACCUUGCUUUUUCACUUCAGAACAGAGACCUUAUGCUCCUACAAACAGUUAUGCAGUUAAACAGUACAGGCCACCUUCAUCAUCUGACUGUGAAGACUAAGUUUAGGAAUAAUUGUGAGGGAGGUGCUUUCAUUGCUUAGUCACAAUCUGCCAGUGUUCAGAACUUCCUGUAUCCCAAGUCUUCAGAAUUUGGAUGUAUUCAAUAACAUCUACAUGCGCGAGUGAGGAUCUCUGCCUCCUGAACCUGGUCAUUUUCUAAACC